CUGGAAUCUGGGAAAAGUGUUGAGCAGACUGGAAAAGGUGGGCCCACUUUUAAAAUAAUAGGCUUCCAGAAAUGCCUGCCAAUUACAGGAAAUUCCCUAUGUUCUUCAACAAUCUGUGAAACUAUUAAAGGAAAGUCACUGCUGGAUGGAAGAUAAGAGCUGUGGGAAUGUGCAAUCACAAUUGCUGGCCAGUUUCUGAAGUUCUAAUAAAUUGAUGACAAAGACCAC